rnacentral:rRNA from 1 species
GUGCAGCAGGCGAGAAUUUUUCUCAAUGGGCGAAAGCCUGAAGGAGCGACGCCGCGUGGGGGAUGAAUGGCUUCGGCCCGUAAACCCUGUCAUUUGUGACAAAUUGCUUCACCUAACACGUGAAGCAUUGAUUGUAACGGAAGAGGAAGGGACGGCUAACUCUGUGCCAGCAGCCGCGGUAAUACAGAGGUCCCAAGCGUUGUUCGGAUUCACUGGGCGUAAAGGGUGCGUAGGCGGUUUGAUAAGUCUGAUGUGAAAUCCCGCAGCUUAACUGCGGAACUGCAUUGGAAACUGUUUGACUAGAGGAAUGGAGGGGAGACUGGGAAUACUUGGUGUAGCAGUGAAAUGCGUAGAUAUCAAGUGGAACACCAGUGGCGAAGGCGAGUCUCUGGACAUUUCCUGACGCUGAGGUACGAAAGCCAGGGGAGCAAACGGGAUUAGAUACCCCGGUAGU